CAGCCGCCACGGGAAUACGAAGGGGGCUAGCGUUGCUCGGAAUCACUGGGCGUAAAGGGCGCGUAGGCGGCCAUUCAAGUCGGGGGUGAAAGCCUGUGGCUCAACCACAGAAUUGCCUUCGAUACUGUUUGGCUUGAGUAUGGCAGAGGUCAGUGGAACUGCGAGUGUAGAGGUGAAAUUCGUAGAUAUUCACAAGAACACCAGUGGCGAAGGCGGCUGACUGGGCCAUUACUGACGCUGAGGCGCGAAAGCGUGGGGAGCAAACAGGAUUAGAUACCCCCGUAGUCCCUGUCUCUUAUAC
rnacentral:rRNA from 1 species